rnacentral:tRNA from 1 species
GGUGGCGUGUCCGAGCGGCCUAAGGAGCACGCCUCGAAAGCGUGUGAGGGGUAACCCCCCUCCGAGGGUUCAAAUCCCUCCGCCACCGCCACGA